GGAUACUUGCCCAAGGUCAUGCAUUGAUCAAGAAACAGCUGGGCUGCUGAGUGGAGUCACUGAGAAGGGGUAUCCCAGGUCACAAGUUGUGCCACAGCCAUGGAGCUGAAAGAAGAUGGAGGUGUGCACUCAAGACCUUGCAUAAAUCACCCUGGACACAUGGAAAUGGAUCCCACACUCCAGGAAGGUGAUUCCCCGGCUCUCCCUGGACACCUGUUCCAUCACCUCUCCCACACUCACUGCCCAGAAAUUCUUCGCUGUUGCCCAAGUCCCACAGGCUGAAGGGCGCUCACAUUUGUUUCCACUUAACAAAGCACUUCCCCACCCACUGUUUCAUCUGGUCUUUAUUGCUGUGAAGAACACU